rnacentral:rRNA from 1 species
UACGUAGGGUGCGAGCGUUAAUCGGAAUUACUGGGCGUAAAGCGUGCGCAGGCGGUGAUGUAAGACAGUUGUGAAAUCCCCGGGCUCAACCUGGGAACUGCAUCUGUGACUGCAUCGCUAGAGUACGGUAGAGGGGGAUGGAAUUCCGCGUGUAGCAGUGAAAUGCGUAGAUAUGCGGAGGAACACCGAUGGCGAAGGCAAUCCCCUGGACCUGUACUGACGCUCAUGCACGAAAGCGUGGGGAGCAAACAGG